UACGUAGGCAGCGAGCGUUGUUCGGAGUUACUGGGCGUAAAGGGUGUGUAGGCGGUUGUUUAAGUUUGGGGUGAAAUCUCCCGGCUCAACUGGGAGGGUGCGCCGAAUACUGAAUGACUAGAGUGCGGGAGAGGAAAGUGGGAUUCCUGGUGUAGCGGUGAAAUGCGUAGAUAUCGCUUGGAACGCCAAUGGUGAAAACAGCUCGCUGGGGGUGUGCUGACGCUGAGACACGAAAGCCAGGGGAGCGAACGGG
rnacentral:rRNA from 1 species